rnacentral:misc_RNA from 1 species
GAUGAAGAACGUAGUGAAAUGCGAUAAGUAGUGUGAAUUGCAGAAUUCAGUGAAUCAUCGAAUCUUUGAACGCACAUUGCGCCCUUUGGUAUUCCAAAGGGCAUGCCUGUUCGAGCGUCAUUUGUACCCUCAAGCUUUGCUUGGUGUUGGGCGUCUUGUCUCUAGCUUUGCUGGAGACUCGCCUUAAAGUAAUUGGCAGCCGGCCUACUGGUUUCGGAGCGCAGCACAAGUCGCACUCUCUAUCAGCAAGGGUCUAGCAUCCAUUAAGCCUUUUUUUCAACUUUUGACCUCGGAUCAGGUAGGGAUACCCGCUGAACUUAAGCAUAUCAAUAAGCGGAGGA